rnacentral:rRNA from 1 species
GAGUUUGAUCCUGGCUCAGGAUGAACGCUGGCGGCAUGCCUAAUACAUGCAAGUCGAACGAGAUGGUUUACCAUCUAGUGGCGAACGGGUGAGUAAUGCAUAGAUAACUUGCUCUUAAGACGAGGAUAACAGUUGGAAACGACUGCUAAUACUGGAUAGUAUAUAGAUACUCCUGUAUUUAUAUUUAAAGGUGCUUCAAAGCACCACUUAAGAAGAGGUCUAUGUCGCAUUAGCUAGUUGGUGGGAUAAGAGCUCACCAAGGCGACGAUGCGUAGCUGUGCUGAGAGGAAGGUCCCCCACACUGGUACUGAGACACGGACCAGACUCCUACGGGAGGCAGCAGUGAGGAAUAUUGGUCAAUGGACGCAAGUCUGAACCAGCCAUGUCGCGUGCAGGAAGACUGCCCUAUGGGUUGUAAACUGCUUUUAUACGGGAGCAAUAAGGGUUACGAGUAAUCCGAUGAGAGUAUUGUAUGAAUAAGGAUCGGCUAACUCCGUGCCAGCAGCCGCGGUAAUACGGAGGAUCCGAGCGUUAUCCGGAAUUAUUGGGUUUAAAGGGUGCGUAGGCGGCCAUUUAAGUCAGCGGUGAAAUUUUGCAGCUUAACUGUAACAGUGCCGUUGAUACUGUUUGGCUAGGAUUUGGUUGUAGUGUGCGGAAUGUGUGGUGUAGCGGUGAAAUGCUUAGAUAUCACACAGAACACCGAUUGCGAAGGCAGCACACUAAGUCAUUAUUGACGCUGAGGCACGAAAGUGUGGGGAUCAAACAGGAUUAGAUACCCUGGUAGUCCACACUGUAAACGAUGAUAACUCGCUGUCGGCGAUACACAGUCGGUGGCCAAGCGAAAGCAUUAAGUUAUCCACCUGGGGAGUACGACCGCAAGGUUGAAACUCAAAGGAAUUGACGGGGGCCCGCACAAGCGGAGGAACAUGUGGUUUAAUUCGAUGAUACGCGAGGAACCUUACCCGGGCUCGAACGGUGCAUGAAUAUACGAGAGAUUGUAUAGUCCUUCGGGACAUGUAUCGAGGUGCUGCAUGGUUGUCGUCAGCUCGUGCCGUGAGGUGUCGGCUUAAGUGCCAUAACGAGCGCAACCCUCGUCAUUAGUUGCCAUCAGGUCAAGCUGGGGACUUUAAUGAGACUGCCACCGUAAGGUGUGAGGAAGGGGGGGAUGACGUCAAAUCAGCACGGCCCUUAUGUCCGGGGCGACACACGUGUUACAAUGGGAGGUACAGAGGGCAGCUAUCCGGUGACGGAAUGCUAAUCUCCAAAACCUUUCUCAGUUCGGAUUGGAGUCUGCAACUCGACUCCAUGAAGGUGGAUUCGCUAGUAAUCGCGCAUCAGCCAUGGCGCGCCGAAAAGGGUCCCGGGCCGUGUACACACCGCC